CCGACACCUUCUUCCCAGUGCGGCCCGGGCUGCGGCCCCGGGUCCGAGGAGGCCCGGGGAGACCCGGAGGAGGUGGAAACUGAGACCCAGAGAGCCGUGACUUGACUGAUCCCACAGCCAGGAAAUGGUGGAGCCUGGAUUUGAACCCCAGCUUUUAAGAAGAAGGUGCCACUGUCCUGGAAGAACUCUCAGGACAGCAUUAGUGUCUCAGGGAUCCCCCUAAUCGGAGGGGCCUUAAGCCUAAUCAUGAUUGUCACUGAAGAUCCAGGAGGGCUUCCUGGAGGAGGAGGCAGCUCCAUUCUGAAAUGCCAAGGGUACAGCUUUAUUGGGACAGCCAGUGUCUCUGAAUAUGUAGGUUUUGCACAGAGCUUGUACUGCCCCAGGGCCUGUACACUGCCUGUCCCCUCUGCCUUGUGCACUCUUUCCCUAGAUGUCCAAAUGGCUCCUUUCCUCACCUACCCCAAAUCUCAAUUCCAGUGUUUCCCCAGCCUCCCCUCAUUUCAGUAAUCACUCUGCAGUGAGCUAGGAUUGCGCCACUGCACUCCAGCUUGGAUAAGAGAACAAGACCCUGU
rnacentral:lncRNA from 1 species